AAAGCUAAGGUUUUAUAAAAGUAAUGCUUGUAUGGUCUUACAGAACAACAACUAAUGAUGCCUCUCUCUACCCUUUAAUUUCGUCUCCCACAUUAGCAGUCCCUUUGCCCUUUAUUUGGCCGUAAGAUGGGGCAAAAGGGACUGCUGGAGGGGAGUAAAGAAAAAAAAUGAAAUGAACCCAAAUUCAGGUUAUUGUGUUAAAAUCUUGACGUCAUGAAAGGUUUGAUGUGGGCUUCAGUUGGUUGAUUGGUAUAUUUGGUAUAUUUCUUUGCUCUUUUUAGGUUCCAUGAACAUUCGUUCCAAUUCAAUAUAAUAUCUAAAUUCUGAUCCUGUAGAAAACCAGAUGGUCACAUGGGGACUAAAACCCUUGACAUUCCGUCUGAUGGGAGACCCUCGCCCCUCCUCCCCUGCAUCAUCAGGCUAUUGUCAUGGAAACAGCAGCAUGCGAAAGCGGAGACUUCGGAUGGGCACGCACAAGGCUGGUUGAGUUCAUAUAUAUAUACACAUCUCGGUCCGCACAGUUAAAUGUCCUGUGUUCAGAUUCCAUGCGUCUUCAGUAGUUUAGUAUAAGAACAAGGUUUACUCCUUUAGGAUGAUCAUUUAGAGACACCGACAUAACUUAUGUGAACUAUUAGUUUGAGAAUUCAGACUGCUUACUGGGCGCCACUGAAUACGUUUUCCACUAUGGAGUUCCCCAUCAACAGCCUGUUUCAUCAAGCGAUGAAGAUGACUCUCCUGAUGGGAUUAAUGGCGGUGAACACCAGAGCCAUCGAGACGGUGAACGUGGUGGACUUCUGCGGUCAGACCAUCAAGGGGGACGGCAUGGUGGUGAACUCGCAUAAGGACUCUAAGAAGUACUACUUUGUGACCAUGGGCACCGACUGCCACCUCACCAUGCAGGCCGCCUCCCCCCGGGACAAGAUCCAGUUCCACUUCCGCUUCUUCCUGGUGUACAGUUUGUUGAGGGUGGCCCCGCUCAGUCCCGCCCCGCCCUCCCCCCGGGGGUCUGCCCCCCUAGACAGCCCCCGUCCGGACCCCGGGCCUGGCCAGGGGCCCGAGGACCCCUGCCACGCUGGCUCCUACCUCCAGUUCUACGACGGCAGGGAGAGGAGCUCCCCGCCAGUGGGUCCCCCGCUGUGUGGGAAGAGCCCCCCACGGCCGGUGCUCUCCACGGGGAACUACCUGACGCUGAGGCUGGUGACCCGGGGGACCCAGCCCCGCGUGGACUUCGUGGGGGACUUCACCUCCUUCAGGCUGGGGUUCAACCAAUCCGAAUGCAGUGGGGAGCCGUACUUUACCUGUCGCAAUGGCAAGUGUAUUCCUCUGAGUCUGGUGUGUGAUGACAAAGGAAUCGACAACUGUGGGGAUGGAAGCGACCUGGAAGAGAACCUGACUUCUGGAUGCAAAGGGGGUCAGUUGGUAGCUCACACAUCGCCGCCCACCAUUGCAACGUCCACUGGAGCGUCUGUCCUGACCACAGCGCCGGCCUCCACAGGUAUGAACUGUGGCGCGCCGGACAGUGCGCACAACCUGGAGUCAGCCACAGGUGAGGGCGCCGCUACCACCACAAACGCCCACCUCACCCUCACACGUUUACAUCUAAUCGGAUGUGACUUACAAAUCAGAUUUGGAAUAAUUCAUCUCAAGUCUGGUAGCAGACCAGCUCCAGUCUGGAUUGAGGGGAACUCAGCAAUUGCAGACUUGGCCAGCACUAGUCAGAUGUUCAUGGUGGGAGGACACUAAUGUGAUUUGAAAAAGGUAUCAAAUCAACACUGUAUAAAUACAUUCAUAAAUAAUUCCUUCUGAAGCUUUAUCCACAUGUGUUUCUGAUCAGCAGAAUGUCUCUUGAACGAUACGGGGAGCAAGACAUGAUGCGACCCUUGCAGCUUGUGGUUUCCGGGCUCUGUACUCAUCUGUCUUUACACUCAUCAGGCCUCCACGGUCCCCGUGUCCCUGCUGGCUCUGUACGUGGCGCUGGGCGUGCUGGGCGCCGCCCUGCUGCUGUGCUGGUGCUGCUGGUCCCCGGCCUGGUUCCUCUGGCGCUUCAGCGUCUGCCGCCACCUGCCCUGCUGCAACGCCACCUGCUCCGCCUGCCAGCUCUGCCUGCGGGGCUGCGGCCACCAUGGAGAGAACCGGCCCAUCAAGGUCACCCCCCACAACCCCGUCAGCGGAACACUGCUGAGGCCCGUAGCCCCAGACGCUAACGCUAGCAGCACUACUGUAGCCGUAUGAGCCACCUGAGUGGCGAACGCUAGCAGCACUACUGUGGCCGUAUGAGCCGCGUGAUUGGCUGUAUCUAUGUAUCCAUGCCCAUAAUGUAAAAAGCGUGAAAAAGUUUAGAAGUCUAACAAUAAACUAGGCUUUUGUUUAUUUGGUGUAUUGUCUGUUUGAGGGGAGGAGAUGAGGAGACAGGAGUUAGUUUCUUCAUUUAGUGUGGAUGUGCACUUUUUCUUUGAAAAUGAUCCUAAAAUAAAACAGGUUUUGUAUAAUGAUAUGACAGUUGAGGUGAAGCAGGGUACAUUAUACUUUGAAACGAAUAGUCUUUUUAUUAUUAUUACUCAGAAAGGUACUUUCUGUAUCUUUUGUUGUACAUUGUCUGUUAAUAAGCAGUAUCUCAAUGUUGAUCGAAUGCUGUAUAAACCAUUAAAGCUUUAGAAAAAAAAAGAAUACUCUUUGUUUUAUUCGAUAUAUGGUUUCAUAUGGUUUUCCUUUGUAUGUUUUGGUUUUCAUAUGUAUUGUGAUUGUAAAAUUAAAUAUGUAACUAACAUUUGUGCAAAACUUGCACACAGGUUUUUUAUUUUUUCAAUUCUUCAAAAUGUAUGAAGUGUACCUUCUCCCUCCGGCAAAGCUGCCCUCCUGUAAGGGUUCAGUCUGAUUGCGUAGCUUGGCUUCAACAUAGGCUAUAGUACAGUGGUCUGGACUACUCUUGUUCAGCAUCCUUCUACCAGCAGUAGAAGGAUGCCUCAAUUAGAAUAAUGGGAUUUAGUUUUAGUCAAGGGUACAGAAUCCAUGUAUGGUUCGUUCUUUGAAUAUUCAGAUUUAAAGCAAAAUCAGAAAAAAAGAAUUAACAGUCGUUUUUUGUUUUUUCUGAUUUGGUUUUGAAUCGGAAAAAGGGCAAAAGGAAUAAAUAAAUAAACUGCAUUUUAUUUGUGUUAGUGUGUUUUGUGUGUUGGUUUUUUAAACCCGAAACACAAAAACAAAAAUAGAUACAUUUAUAGUUAUAGGCUACACCAGAAGGCAGAACG